UCAAGAAGGAGAGAAGAGCAGGAGAUGGCGGCUCAGAAACAAAAGGCUAAAGAAACUGUCCAGAGGGCCGCCAAAGAAGCACAUUCCAGCGUGUAUUCUCAGUGACUUGGCAUUCCAGUGUGGUUUUCUGUCCAUUCCAGUACAGUGGCUCAAGUGGAAGGCCCAGUAGCGGUGACCGAAACUGAGAACCAAGGCAGGUAUGCCUCCCUCCUGCCAACCUGGAGAAUGCAUUUGAGGAGUUUGAUCCUGAGGGUGAUGCCAACAUUUAGUCCUCGUGUGUGGGUUUCUGCUGGUGAGAUGGCUCUGCGGGUAAGAGCACCCAUUGCUCUUCUGAAGAUCA